rnacentral:tRNA from 1 species
GCUCUCAUCGUUCAACGGAUAGGACACUCCCCUGCGAAGGGAGAAAUCCAGGUUCGAUUCCUGGUGAGAGCA